GCCAGAUGGUGGGCAGUGAAGAAUAAAAUUAGGUUUCGGAAUUGGGUGAGGCUGGGAUGUUGCAGAUUUUGCAAUGUAUUCGUGAGUAGAGUUACUUAUUUUAGGGACAUGCAGGCCCAUGUAAUGUGGGUCAAGUUCAGAGUCGAAGGUUUCUAUGCAACUGUGGCAAACAAACAGGCCAGGAAUGAGUUUCAAUUAAACCAAAUGACAAGGAUAACCAGAAAGCAGAUUUGGGGUAGGAAGAGGUCAGAAGACUGCCAUGAAAUCAAUGAAGGUAAGUGGGGACAAAUGAGCCAAAAAGGAGGGCGGAAGCCCUGAGCCUGUUUUCCAGCUUCUUGUUCUGAGGAUGCGUGUCCUGCUGAGUGUUAGCAGCAGGGUAAAAUCCCCAUCAUGAAGAGGCUUUCCCACGAUAAAAUGCAUCCUGUGAUCUCCUAGCACAGCUGAAGAAUCACCAUCCCAGUUUGUUGGCUUCACAUGGCCAGUUCCUGCUCUCAGUCUCCUGGGAUGUGACGGUGUACUUCUGGCAAUGCAAAGCUGGUGACAGCACAACAAGCAAGUGCUUAGAGGGGCAGCUACCGGAGAAGUCUCCUGCACACUCUUUAAGGGACCCACUAUCAAGAGGCAUGUUUGUCAGAAGGAAGCCUGCUUCACAGUCAGCUUCCCCAGGCCCAGACUGCCCAUCUGUGAUGUGAGCUGUUUGGAGGAAAAGAGUUUGGAAUUUGCCCAACCAAGCACCAGGCACAGACUGCCUCAGAGCCAGAGGUGACCCAAAUUUCCUCACCAUUCACAACCGAAAGGACA